ACGUGGGUAACCUGCCCUUAAGUCGGGGAUAACAUUUGGAAACAGAUGCUAAUACCGCAUAAAUCCAAGAACCGCAUGGUUCUUGGCUGAAAGAUGGCGUAAGCUAUCCGUUUUGGAUGGACCCGCGGCGUAUUAGCUAGUUGGUGAGGUAACGGCUCACCAAGGCAAAGAUACGUAGCCGAACUGAGAGGUUGAUCGGCCACAUUGGGACUGAGACACGGCCCAAACUCCUACGGGAGGCAGCAGUAGGGAAUCUUCCACAAUGGACGCAAGUCUGAUGGAGCAACGCCGCGUGAGUGAAGAAGGCUUUCGGGUCGUAAAACUCUGUUGUUGGAGAAGAAUGGUCGGCAGAGUAACUGUUGUCGGCGUGAGCGUAUCCAACCAGAAAGCCACGGC
rnacentral:rRNA from 1 species